AUGGCGGGGUGCAAGGAUACGGCACUCAACCUGGCCAAGUUCGUCGACAAUGGCGUCCAGGUCAAGCUCACCGGCGACCGCCAAGUUACAGGAACUUUAAAGGGAUAUGACCUACUGCUGAAUUUUGUGCUGGAUGAAGCAGUCGAGUCUGAAAGAGCUGUGAUGCAUUUUGAUAAUCUCCUUGUACCAGAUGAGUCCCUUCUGUUAGGGGAUAAUCUACUGGUUAUACCAACAUUUUGCAUGAAAUUUUGUUCUGCUAAGGUUGUUUGCAAUAGUUAUACAUAUGUUACACAAUUUUUGCUGCUGGCUCAUCAGCUUUAG
rnacentral:rRNA from 1 species